CAAGUUCAGGAGGACUGAAUUAACUGGAUGUUCUCAGGAUGAAAAAGAAAUUGCUGACUUUAAUUGAAUAAUCAUUAUCAUUAUAAUGUUAAAGGUUAAAAAUAUUGAACAUUCAAAAGGAUGCAGACAGAAAUUUGAAAGUAGGGCCUGAAUUUCAGGUUAAGUGAUCCAGGAAUGGGGUUGGCCCUCUGCAGGCUAAAUCAAUUGAGGGAGAUCCCUUUAUUUCAAGUUAAAUGAUUAUUUGAAUAAGAUGCCAUUCAGGCAAUAAGGGCCUGGUUAGGUCCAUAUUUUAAUUCAAAUUAUUAAGUAGUGAUGGGCGAUACCGAGUACUCGGUAUUCGAUACCAGCGAUACCACAAACAGCGGUAUCGGUAUCGAUUACUGACGUGGUAUCGUUCGAUACUUGCACCCUUUUAUAAACGACAUGUUUAAUUUCACUUCUUGUUUGAAUAAGACUUAAUGAACAACUAAAAUAACUGUUAAUAUUCCGAAUGUGGUGCGCCAAGUCAAGUAUAGAGUAUAUUUAUUACGUUUCGGACUUUUGGUUUACUUAUAGUUUUAUUUAGGUUACAUACAGUAAAGUAAAAUGUUUUUCCACUGACCGGCAAGUAUCGAAAAUAGCCAAUACUAGCAAUUUAAGUACUCACUUCCAGUAUCGAAAAUUGAAAUUAUGUGUUCAUUUUGGUAUCGAAAUAGGUAUCGGUAUCGGCCGAUACCGAUUUUAAAAGUAUCGGUAUCGGUAUCGAAUUAAAAAUCCUGGUAUCGCCCAUCACUAUUAUUAAGUACUCGAUUUAUCCAUCAACAAAACCCAACAUUAAAAUUUCCAUCGAGUGAGAUGCAACAAAACCAUCUAUAGUUUAUUAAUUAUGUUAACUUAAUCCAUCAAUUGGCAAUGAGCCUACUUUAGUAAUAAUUUUAUAUACUCCUGUAUCUCUAAUUUGCCCAUUAUAUUUAUAAACUGACAGUUAAUACUAUUACACUUUCACAUAUACUAAUAAAAUCAUCUGGGCCCGGUUGUUUGAAACCCGUGAAAGCCUUUGAACUACCGGCCCCAGAUGAUUUUAUUAGUCUGUGAAAGAUUAAUUAUUAACUGUCAGUUUAUAAAUAUAAUGGGCAAAUAUAUGAUUAUGUACAAAUUGCAUGCAUGGUUCAUAAAAUCUCUGUGAUAGACUUGCUCCAACAGAUUCAAAUUCCAUCCUGACAAUACCUAAAUAAUAAUUAUAGAGGUUGCAGUGUUGCACUACCUUUUGCUAAAAUACUGCCAUUGUUUACCAGUAUUUAAUAUGAACUCAAAAGUCAAAACACUUAACACUAUGAAGUAUUU